rnacentral:rRNA from 1 species
AUUGAACGCUGGCGGCAUGCCUUACACAUGCAAGUCGAACGGCAGCGGGGACUUCGGUCCGCCGGCGAGUGGCGAACGGGUGAGUAAAGUAUCGGAACGUACCUUUCAGUGGGGGAUAACGUAGCGAAAGUUACGCUAAUACCGCAUAUUCUGUGAGCAGGAAAGCAGGGGAUCGCAAGACCUUGCGCUGAUUGAGCGGCCGAUAUCAGAUUAGCUAGUUGGUGAGGUAAAGGCUCACCAAGGCGACGAUCUGUAGCGGGUCUGAGAGGAUGAUCCGCCACACUGGAACUGAGACACGGUCCAGACUCCUACGGGAGGCAGCAGUGGGGAAUUUUGGACAAUGGGGGCAACCCUGAUCCAGCCAUGCCGCGUGAGUGAAGAAGGCCUCGGUGUAAGACUCUUCGUCCGGACGAAGUACGUAUGGUUAAGUACCUACGUGCGGAGUGACGGUACCGG